UUCCUACAACAUUUUUGGUGUUUGUCUUGGUGCGACAUGUUUGUACUGAAUAUUUUUCUUUCUUAUGCUGUUUAGGAAAGAAGAGCAAGGAAUAGCAAGAGGCUAAGGAGGCUGCAAGACCUCGUGCCCAAUAUGGACAAGUUAUUCUUUUACCACAACCACUGCACUCUUCGGUUGGCAGAAUCAAGGAAAAGAUAUCUCAUGAAAAUCUAGUAGGAAGUGAUGAAUCGAACAAGGAGGAAGGGUAACACAAUGACGUGUUUGGUCUUCAGCCAUUUCUUUACUAAGAAACUAAGAGAGCCGAAGGUGGAGCGGCGACGAGAGCUGGCCAUUUGUUAACAGUCGCAGACACGCGUGUACCCUGCUCGCUGGCCGUUGCAAACUGAACGGCUACAUGCAUUAAACGGCCAUACACAAAGCUAGCUUACACAGUAAGCGGAGGAGUUGAACUAGGUUGAGCUGCUGCUUCAUAUGGCCUGGAACGCCAGGCCGUCUUCUGUGUUGUCGUCGCGGGCACCACGGGACCGUCUUGGUCUUCUUCCGUGUCACCAUCGAGAGGUAGCAGGAAAUGUGUGUCGAGAGGCACAUGAAUACGCCCGUGGAUUGUUUUUCAGCGUGCUCAGUUUUAAAAAACGAGUUAUGUGGUUCUUUUCUUAAUACAGAGAAAAAAAUGAUAAUUUUGCAAGUGCUACAGUAUUAAGAUCACUGUUUUUAAUACUGUAAUUUAAACCACAGUUUUUAGUGGUAGCCAAACAGCUCACUGUAAUUAAAACUUUGUUAAUCUAAAAAACUGUGUUAUUUUCAAAAUACAUAGAAAGUACUUUGCUAUCAAACAGGGCUACAAGUGCAGAUUUCCUUGAAGAUAGUAUAUUUUAUAAUUGUAUUGCCAACAUGCUUCCAUAGUUUUAUCACCACAAACUAAUUCUAGCUGCUUCCAUAGUAAGGUAACAAUAAUCUGUGUUAUAGCAGAAUAUAGAUGUAGUGUGCUUGUCUGAAUAUAAUGCAGAGUUUAGAAAUGAACUAAAAUCUGAGAGCAGGAAGUAAUAGGCUUAUUUUCCAGUUAGAAAAAUAUAUGUACUGUAGCAUCAUGUAUUCAGGUAAUCCCUUGUAUUUUUUUGCCAGGUUCAUGUUUUAUAUAUUGUCUAUACACCACAUAAACUAAAGUUUGUAGUGUCAGCAGUAAACAGGGGCACACCUUAGUAUGGGUAGAAAAAUAAGAGCUUGUGAAAAGAAUAGUAUCUCUAUUACAGGACAAGAAUGACUCUUUAGUUUUAUGCUGAUGUGUGAAAGCACCCCAUUAUCAUGCAAAUAGUACCAGGUUUAGAGCCUUGAUUAUGGCGGCUAUAAACCCAAAACAAUCCAUCUUAUUAUUUAGUAUACAAAGCACGUUCUGGUGGGAAUGACUCCAAUUAGAAUUCUAGCUGCUGGCAUAUAUCUGAUUGGUCCCGGAUUGAAAAUCUCAAUUGUCAGGACUUGCUUGUAUGCAUUCCUAAAUAGUGUAAAACUGAAGCUUGCUGCUCGUGAGGUGUCAGCCAUAAACAUGUAUUAUGACCAUUGUUUAUCCGGUGAAGUGCCUAAAAUAUAGAGUUACAGUAGGGUUUUUACCCUACCGUGUUUGCUAAAAAAAAGUGCCUAAAAUUCAGUGACCAUAGCUUUCCACUUUAGCUCAUAAACUGGAUGGCAAAAUAGAGUUUGCCCAUUUCAUAUCUAUGUUGUCUUAUUAGGAAAAUAGAGUUUGUUUUAUAGCUGAUGCUUAAUAUGUUUCAUCGACUGGUAUGCUCUAACUUUAGCUCAUAAACUGGAUGGCAAAUGCUAAUUCUAAUGGGGCUUUUGCCACUUAUUGUUUUAUGGUUGUCUAGACAGCUGAUGGCAUGCUUCUUUUUGCGAAUUGUCAAUUCUUUUGUACAGGGUCCCUCGGCUACUUAUGCUCUGCCAGACAAUGAGAGUAUGUAGAUAGCAUGUAUGGUUUUUACAUUGCUUUGCGCAGGUUGAGAUGCAUCACAUGAUGUUUUCCUUUUACAUUUAUGAGUAUUAUAGAGUCCUUUCUUUUUCCACAAGGGGCAGUAGCUAUGCCAUUUGAUUCGAAGGACAAAGAGUUGAUCACAAAGGGGUAGCAUUCAGAAUAUAUACACAAAAGAUUAUAGAACCAAAUUAUAUGAUGUAAUUGACUACUAUUUCUAUUAACUUCUCUUGUACACAAUGUUCACGAGUUCAUGUAUUAAGUACAUUUUAUUGUGUCA